rnacentral:rRNA from 1 species
AUUGAACGCUGGCGGCAUGCCUUACACAUGCAAGUCGAACGGUAACGCGGGGCAACCUGGCGACGAGUGGCGAACGGGUGAGUAAUGCAUCGGAACGUGCCCAGUAGUGGGGGAUAGCCCGGCGAAAGCCGGAUUAAUACCGCAUACGACCUAAGGGUGAAAGCGGGGGAUCGCAAGACCUCGCGCUAUUGGAGCGGCCGAUGUCAGAUUAGGUAGUUGGCGGGGUAAAGGCCUACCAAGCCUACGAUCUGUAGCUGGUCUGAGAGGACGACCAGCCACACUGGGACGGAGACACGGCCCAGACUCCUACGGGAGGCAGCAGUGGGGAAUUUUGGACAAUGGGCGCAAGCCUGAUCCAGCCAUGCCGCGUGCGGGAAGAAGGCCUUCGGGUUGUAAACCGCUUUUGUCAGGGAAGAAAUCUUCUGGGCUAAUACCUCGGGAGGAUGACGGUACCUGAAGAAUAAGCACCGGCUAACUACGUGCCAGCCGCCGCAGUAAGAC